AGCAACAUUUAUGUGCUUUGCAAGCACGUGCUGGCCAUGAAAGCCUGUUGCUA
rnacentral:tRNA from 1 species